GAUGGAGCAACGCCGCGUGAAUGAAGAAGGGUUUCGGCUCGUAAAACUCUGUUGUUAAAGAAGAACAUAUCUGAGAGUAACUGUUCAGGUAUUGACGGUAUUUAACCAGAAAGCCACGGCUAACUACGUGCCAGCAGCCGCGGUAAUACGUAGGUGGCAAGCGUUGUCCGGAUUUAUUGGGCGUAAAGCGAGCGCAGGCGGUUUUUUAAGUCUGAUGUGAAAGCCUUCGGCUCAACCGAAGAAGUGCAUCGGAAACUGGGAAACUUGAGUGCAGAAGAGGACAGUGGAACUCCAUGUGUAGCGGUGAAAUGCGUAGAUAUAUGGAAGAACACCAGUGGCGAAGGCGGCUGUCUGGUCUGUAACUGACGCUGAGGCUCGAAAGUAUGGGUAGCAAACAGGAUUAGAUACCCUGGUAGUCCAUACCGUAAACGAUGAAUGCUAAGUGUUGGAGGGUUUCCGCCCUUCAGUGCUGCAGCUAACGCAUUAAGCAUUCCGCCUGGGGAGUACGGCCGCAAGGCUGAAACUCAAAGGAAUUGACGGGGGCCCGCACAAGCGGUGGAGCAUGUGGUUUAAUUCGAAGCUACGCGAAGAACCUUACCAGGUCUUGACAUACUAUGCAAAUCUAAGAGAUUAGACGUUCCCUUCGGGGACAUGGAUACAGGUGGUGCAUGGUUGUCGUCAGCUCGUGUCGUGAGAUGUUGGGUUAAGUCCCGCAACGAGCGCAACCCUUAUUAUCAGUUGCCAGCAUUAAGUUGGGCACUCUGGUGAGACUGCCGGUGACAAACCGGAGGAAGGUGGGGAUGACGUCAAAUCAUCAUGCCCCUUAUGACCUGGGCUACACACGUGCUACAAUGGAUGGUACAACGAGUUGCGAACUCGCGAGAGUAAGCUAAUCUCUUAAAGCCAUUCUCAGUUCGGAUUGUAGGCUGCAACUCGCCUACAUGAAGUCGGAAUCGCUAGUAAUCGCGGAUCAGCAUGCCGCGGUGAAUACGUUCCCGGGCCUUGUACACACCGCCCGUCACACCAUGAGAGUUUGUAACACCCAAAGUCGGUGGGGUAACCUUUUAGGAACCAGCA
rnacentral:rRNA from 2 species